UUAACUCAAAUUUGUAUGGAGUUGGAUCAGCGCCCCUAGCGGCAAACGAAAGGUAGCUGUCCAACUCCAUACAAAUUUAAGUUA
rnacentral:pre_miRNA from 1 species